rnacentral:lncRNA from 1 species
CUUGAUUCACAUUCACCUGCUGAUAGCAGGAACUUGAUACAUGCACCUCUUGGCUUGUUCCCUCGGCCUUGGCCACCUAGUACUGCUUCUUCAGAGGGUAGUAAAUUCUUCAAAGUUGUUGAGUAUUUCCGCUUAGUUGGUCGAAUCAUGGCAAAAGCAUUGCAAGAUGGAAGGCUUCUUGAUUUGCCUUUGUCAACAGCAUUUUAUAAGCUUCUACUUGGACAAGUAAGCAUGAGAACCCGCUUGCAGUAGAUCCAUUCCAAUAUUCCCUUCCACCUUCUUGUCAAGUCUUGGUAUUUUUUUUAUUUCUUCUACUGUCUUCUGUAUUGACGCCAAAAUAUUUUGCUUUACUAGGAACUUGAUUUGUACGACAUACUAUCUUUUGAUGCUGAGUUUGGUAAAAUACUUCAAGAGUUGCAAGUUCUUGUUGAACGCAAGCGAUUUCUGGAGUCCUGCUCUAAUCAUAGUCAACAAAUAGAAGAAUUGGGCUUUCGUGGUGCUCCUAUUCAAGACCUAUGCUUAGAUUUUACUCUUCCGGGCUAUCCGGAUUUUGUUCUGAAGGAAGGUGAAGAAAAUACAGUGGUAUGUGAUGGAGUAGAUUAGGUUCUUAUGUUGUCAUCUAAGUGGUACUUCAGCUUUUGCUUCUAAUUUUGUUGUUGACUAUUCAUUGUUAUUGUUAACUUCCUGUAGGUCUGCAUUUACAACUUAGAAGAGUACAUUUCGCUGGUAGUGGAUGCUACACUUAAGACUGGAAUAAUGCGUCAAGUAGAAGCAUUCAAAGCUGGAUUUAAUCAGGUUUUCUCAUUUUUCUAAGAUAUCUUAUUUGCUGGCAAUUAUUGUUAAUUAGCUAUUGCAUUUCUCUUAUUAUUUUUCUAAUUCAGGUAUUUGAUAUAUCAUCACUCCAAAUAUUUUCUCCUCAAGAGCUUGACUAUCUCAUUUGUGGUCGACGGGAACUUUGGGAGGUAAUGCCCUGUUAACUUUAUUUCUCCCUUCUAUAAUCAUUAUUUAACUUGUUCUGAGCAAAUGCAUGUAAUGCAGCCGGAGACACUGGUCGAACAUAUAAAGUUUGAUCAUGGUUAUACCUCGAAGAGUCCAGCAAUUGUCAAUGUGAGUACAUCAUCUUUAAAAAAGGGCACAUCUCUUCACACAGCUUUAUUUCAGAUUUUUGGAACUUCAGUUUAAUGUUUGUGCUGUUGGUUUGCAGCUACUUGAGAUCAUGACGGAAUUUACUCCGGAGCAACAACAUGCAUUCUGCCAGUUUGUGACUGGUGCUCCUCGGCUUCCACCUGGUGGCUUAGCCUCCCUAAAUCCUAAGCUGACUAUAGUUAGGAAGGUAAGCCUGUUGUAGCAAUGCAGAAUGACAUCAUUUCUGCGUUCAUGUUAUUUAAGCUUUUCCAUUUUGUAUCUUGGCCAGCACUCUUCGACUGCGGCGAAUACUUCAAAUGCAGCUGGAGCAGCAGAGUCUGCAGAUGAUGAUCUGCCUAGUGUCAUGACUUGUGCCAACUAUCUUAAACUUCCGCCAUACUCGACAAAGGUUUGGUUCUUUUGGUUGAUGAAUUUUUUGUUCCACCUUUCCGUAUCGUCUUGCCUGGAAACUGACUUGUGCUAUGGUCGUCGGAACAUUGUUGCAGGAGGUUAUGCACAAGAAGCUGCUUUAUGCUAUCAACGAAGGCCAGGGGUCGUUUGAUCUUUCAUAGUGGGUUCAAAACUAACAUACAUGCACCAGUUUUUAUUCAAAGUUAGUUUGUUCAUUGCCAUGUAUAACAUAGGCUUUAAGUCGUUUCUUUUGUGAAAGGUUUAGAGCCCGGAUCUUGUGGUGCCUGUGCUUAUAACAUUCUCUCUCUAUUUUCCUGGGCACUCGUUGUAUAUAUUCUCCAACUGAUCUCUAUAGUGACUAAGAAGACAUUUCUCUUUUGGUCGUCCGUUAUACUUCAUUAUCGUACUCUGUCUAUUUUGAGUGACUUGUGCUCGUGAUUACUAGGUUUACCCGCACUAACGAAAGUUAUGCCCUCGACUAGUGCACAUCUUUUGAAUAACUAAAUGCCUAGUGACAUUGUGUAAGCUAAAGAUAUUUUCAACUUCUAGUUGGUGUUCAACAUGUGCAAGAAAUUUAUGAGAUUCAUCAUGUUACCACGAUCAAGGAAUUUGG